GCGCAGCCCCUCGGACGUCGGCCGGGCUCGGUGUGCGGAGGGUGUGGGGCCUUGGGUCCCGAUCGCGCGCUUCCUGCGCGGGGGAAGCUGCUCGGGGCCGCGCCUGCUCCGCACAGCCGGCGCCGGAAUGCGAGCGCUCUGGCGGGUUCGCAGAGGCACUGUCUUAAGCCCUGAAGAGAGGCAGCUGUGAAGAGAGGCAGUUGCAAAAUAGUUUAUAUUUUCAUGAACGUAACAUCCUGGAGGAAGAAGACACAAAAUAAGCAAGAAAACAAGGCAAUAGAAGAUAGGUGUGAAUUGCUUGAAGGAUAAAAGGGAAAUACUCAAAUGAACAGUCCAGCAGUUAAGAUGCCCAGCAUCCUACAUCCAAGUGUCCAGGUUCAGACCCUACUCACAUGUGCACGACCUAACUUUAAGAGAGGAUGGGAAAUAUAGUCUUCCUAUGUGAACAAAAACUAUAGAUGAAAUGAGGUUCAUUAAGCAUUUGGCAUCACUUCCACCACAAACACCAACCUCCAGGCACUUUCUGAGCAUUUGUUAUAAACAAGAUACCAUCCUGGAGGCUGGCGUGGCACUACAGUAGCAGCGACCAAUCAGAAUGCCAGUUCUGAUCUGUCACUACUGCUAAUGCAACUGCGAAGGCAGUAAAUGAUGGCCCAAGUACUUGAGCACCUGCCACCCAUGUGGGAGACCAAGGUGGAGUUCCAGGCUCCAGGUUUUGGCCUGGACCAGCCCUAGCUGUUGCGUAGAAGAGGAGGACUGGCAUUGUGGCUUAGCAGGCUGAUUCUCUGCCUGCAAAACCGGCAUUGCGUAUGAACAUCCGUUUGAGUCCUGCCUACUUCACUUCCAGUCCCGCUCCCUGCUAAUGUGCCUGUGCAAGCAGCAGAAGAUGAUCGAAGUCCUGGACCCCUGUACUCAUGUGGGAGACCUGCAGAAGCUUCUGGCUCCUGGCUUCAGUGUGGCCCACCCCCGCUGUUAGCCAUUUGGGGUAUAUGAACCAUUGAAUGGAAGAUCUCUCUCUCUCUCUCUGUAACUUUGCCUUUAAAAUAAAUAAAAGUAAAUCUUUAAAAAAAAAAUAGAAGAAAGGAUUUUGGCUGUUUUCAUUAAAAAGAAGUGAUAAAUGUGUGUGGAAAUAGUCAUGUUUACCCUGAUUUGAACUUACAUGAUGUAUAAAUAUAUGGAAACAUCACAUUAUACUCCAUAAAUAUGUAUAAUUUUAUGCAUCAAUUUAAAAAUAAUAAAGUAAUUAAUUAAAUGCUUACUCAAUAAAGUCUACAUUGGAGGAAAUAUUCCUGUUAGAUUUUUAAAUUUAUAAAAGCCAGGACACCAUUUAUAUUUAUUACCAGAUGCAUUUUAACCCAACUACAUAAGAAACAACAUAGUAAAAGACUAAGGAGAAAUGUAUCAAAUAUACUAAAUUGCUCAGGAAUAUUUUCUUUCCACCUUUUGUUUCUUGCCAAAUAUUCUAUAACAAGCACUUAAU